CUUUAUUUAUUUAUUUUUAAUAUUGUCCUUUCAAGGAUGUCUCUAUUUGCAUAGUUUGAUCCUCUUCCCCUACCCAGCACCAACAUUAGUGUGACCUUUUCCUGCUAAUUGGAAAAUCUUACGGAAAUAAACCCUGUCAGAAAAUGAGAAGUGACUCCCCCUUUGGAUGGCCAAACGACCUCAGAGGGGGAAAGAAGUUCUGAAUUUCUGCUCCUUUUGCACACACUGCAAAAUCUUUAUUACUUCGGAGAGCCUUGAAGCUCAGUAAUGCCCCUCCAGUGCAAAGCGGAGUAAAUAAAUUUCUUCUUAUGACCACUUUGGAGAAACACACAACCAGAUUUACUCAGCAGGGAUACAUAGUGGACAGGAUAAUGAAGAGAGAAUAAGAAUAUGAUCGGGGUUUACAGCCUCUUCUGUCUCUUUAAAGAGUUUUAAUCCUUCAGAAACAGGAUACGGGGUCCAUUUCCUUAAAGAUACAGUGUCCCUUCUGGGACGAGUAAUGUUAUAAAAAGCUAAGAUGUAACAUCUAUCUCGCAAUAUUGAUUGGCACUUUAGUGUGAUAAAAGGGGUUGAACCUGAAGGGGAAAAGAGGGGGAAAAGGUAAGUGAGAAUUACUCUUUGAAGAAUUCAAAGUGUCCCUUCUACCAUCGGGACAGACUCAGAGGACAGAGAAACAAAAGCGCCGUUUGGGCCGGGUGACAUUCGUCUGCAGGGGGACAUGCUGAGGGUGGGUUCCAGGGAUAACUGUUUCACCUCCACCAGGAAAUGGCUGUUAAUUUUAAAAGCAAUUCUGGCCAUUCUGAUGUCACAUGCUGGUGAUCUUUAAAAUGAGCCCAAAUGAGUCAGGCCAGAGGUUUCUGACCCAAUGUCGUGGGCCUGAACGACAAGGUCCUGUCUCGUGCCGGCUAAGCCAAACGCUCCAGUGACCUAACUGGGUGGCUUCAAUGCCCCAGAUUUGGUGACGCUGAUUUCACAGACUCUCCUGUACGCCCCCACUCCUCCCCCAGCACCCCGAGCGUGGCCCUGCGUCACUCUCUCCCCGCCAGACGGCAGGACUGGCUGCCUCCGUGACAAACGAUGGAACCUGACCUUUGCCGAACGCUCACUAUGCUUCAGGUGUUUGCACUUAAUCCUCACAACGACUUCGGGGCAGGGCAGGGUUACUGACCCAGUUUGCAGAGUAGGAAACGGGAGGCUCAGAUCUUGCCCAAGAAGACACAGUGUGAAAGGGCAGAGCUGAGAUUGAAACCAAGUCUGCCUGGGUCUAAAGCCCAGGCUCUGACACACUCCUUAUGCGGAGAUCGGGCUCCUAAGGGGCAGGUGAGGUGGCCCCCCUGGGACUCAGCUCCUGAGACCCGACAUCCUCCAAAGAACCCCACCCCAUCUCCCUUCCGAUUUGCGGAGGACCCCAAGUGUCCCCCCAGCUCCUCUGCUUAGGAAGUUACUUCUCUCUGCAGCCCACGCAGCAGCCCUUCUCUCCUUUUACCAUCUACCAGGAAAAUGGAAUGAGGUCGCCGCCGGUUUUGUAAGUGACCACCUUACAACCCAUUUCUAUUUUUACUCUGGGUAAAAAACCACCAACACGCGACACAAGACUGACUCAGGCCUGCCUCUACGUGGACCUCCCCCAGAGCAGGGCACCCUUAGAACUCUUUGCCUUUGCAGUCUGAUUGGCUUUCUUCCUUCAAGGCACAAUGAAUAGUCACCUCCUCUGAGAAGCCUGUCAGGAUUGCCUCAGCCUGAAUCACAGUGUGCAAAUAAAUAUCUCUCCACUCUGACCCAACCAGCUCUUUAUACCUUCUCCCCAGCCCCAGCCUUCUUUAUCACCCUAUAGAGGGAUCAUUUGUUCACAUGUUACUUCUCUUUCCUUCUACUGAGGAUUUGUUAGAACAGGGACCGUGCCUUUUUUUUUAAAUUGAGGUCCUGAAUUAGGUAUGCUUGUCGGUUAAAUAAAUGAAGGUGUGAAUGAGUUAACCAGCACUUCUAAAAGCCCACUGCGUGCCAAGCCAGUGACAGGCCUCAGAGUCACUGAGUCACACAGAACAAUCUUUGACUUAGAAAUCUUCCCACCUCUGGAGAGUUCUGACCCCAGGGAUCAGACUGGAUUCUCUGGCUGGGGACAAAUGGAGUUCUGCAGCAGGUGAAUGACACUGUGGCAGACUGUGGCUAAGUGUGCACCAAACCAUUUUCUUUUCUUUCUAAGCAUGUGGCUGGACCACAUGUUCUAGCCUCCCUUGAAGUUAGACGUGCUCAUCUGACCGAGUGCUGGACUGUGAGCAGGUGUGACAUGCAUCACCUCCAGGCCUGACCCUAAAACCAUCCCACUGCUCCUCCCUGUUCUUUCCCCAUCUGACAAUGGCCUGAGAAGGUUCCAGGGACCCAGCAGAGGACAGAGCCACAGGAUAGAAGGAGCCUGGGCUGCUGAAACCCCAGAAGUUGGGGAGACCCUGUAGGGACCUGCCCUGGGGACCUGCUCAAGCAGGCUUUCUAGCCUUGAGUGAACAAGAAAUAUGAACCUUAAUGUAUUAAGCUGCUCAAAAGUUGGAGUUGUGUGUUAUAGCGGGUGACCUGCCCUAACAGUGACAUGUGUGUGCGUAUAAGUGCAUGUGUGUGAACACAAGAUCUCUGAGCCCCGACACGUGCUCAGAGGGACACCCAGACAAUCCAGGCAGGCCUGGCCCACAUUCCUUUUUCACUUGCAGCUUCCAGACUCGAGGGUCCUACACACACACGCUGGCCACUUCCCUGGAGAAGCCUGGCCCCCUGCCCUACCUCUCUGUCAGCUGUCAGAGCAAGCGUCAUGCUAACUCAAAAUGCUACUUCACAAUCGAGUCCUUGUUUUGGAAACUGACUACACUCCCCGUGGGCCCUACUUUGUCUUGCUGCCUUUGGAGAGCCCGCUUGUCUUGCCUGUCGGCGGACCGCAGAGCUAAAUAGGGGGGUGGGGCGUGGGGGGGCAGGCUUUGCUCAUCUCUUGCCUGCAGCCGUGAGCCCCAGAGACGGGUGGGACUGGACACGGUUAAUAAGGAGUAGAGGCUGCUCUCUACUCAGUGGGAAAGGCCUCUUGCUCUGGAGUUUGCAGAAAAAUCCUCAGGACGUCUAAGCAUGCUCCUCCUACCUCUCUCCGUUUUCAGGACUCCUGUUCCAGGCUUGCGGGAGUGAGUUUUUGUUGUUACUGUGCUGUGUUUUCACUGGCAGGGCCACCAUGAACUAGGAAGAGGCAUCACUGUGCUUUCGAAAGCUGUACCUUCAGUGGGCAAAGUGAUCCAGGACUCCUAGAAUUUCAGAAGCACAGGAUCUUGGGAUCUCUGAAUUCCGGAACCUUGGAAUUGUAGAUUCAAGGAAUCUUGGAAACAGAGAAUCCUUUUUUAAAGCAGUCUCUAAGGCUGUCAGUUUCUGGGGCUGCAGCAGCCGGACAGGAAGUGACAGGAAGUGACAUGCCGGAUCUCCAGUGACAAGUUUCAGGCAGAAGCAUGGAAUGGCACCAGGGGCACACACUUGUGGCCUCCACACAUUGCUGGGACAUUUGGCGGCUCAGCCGUGGACGGGCUUCCUAUGGGCUGCUCCCUUUUUCACUUUGUUACUCUGUUAAAGACGGUGCAAUGCAACUGAAAAUGCCAAGCUGCUCAGUUUUCACACCCCAAGGAACUUCAGGGGCCAAGCUAUCCCAGCCUGUGGAAGAUCAAAGUCAGGCAAGUUUUGCCUUUUCUGUUUGCUCUGCAAUUGCUGUGGGCAUUUCCAUGGAAUCUCAGAGAGAAAAGAAAGCGAAACUCCAAGCUGCAGCUGAGGCAUGCCUGGCAUGGUUUAUGCGACGGGAACAGGUACGAGGCUCCACUACAGACCUGC